rnacentral:rRNA from 1 species
UGGGGAAUAUUGGACAAUGGGCGAAAGCCUGAUCCAGCCAUGCCGCGUGAGUGACGAAGGCCUUAGGGUUGUAAAACUCUUUCGUCGGGGACGAUAGUGACGGUACCCGAAGAAGAAGCUCCGGCUAACUUCGUGCCAGCAGCCGCGGUAAUACGAAGGGAGCUAGCGUUGUUCGGAAUCACUGGGCGUAAAGCGCACGUAGGCGGAUAGUUAAGUCAGGGGUGAAAUCCUGGGGCUCAACCCCAGAACUGCCUUUGAUACUGGCUGUCUCGAGGUCGAGAGAGGUUGGUGGAAUUCCUAGUGUAGAGGUGAAAUUCGUAGAUAUUAGGAAGAACACCAGUGGCGAAGGCGGCCAACUGGCUCGAUACUGACGCUGAGGUGCGAAAGCGUGGGGAGCAAACAGGAUUAGAUACCCCCGUAGUCCCUGAGCGGGCUGGCAAGGCGCAU